GAUGAACGCUGGCGGCGUGCCUAAUACAUGCAAGUCGAGCGAACAGACGAGGAGCUUGCUCCUCUGACGUGAGCGGCGGACGGGUGAGUAACACGUGGAUAACCUAUCUAUAAGACUGGGAUAACUUCGGGAAACCGGAGCUAAUACCGGAUAAUAUAUUGAACCGCAUGGUUCAAUAGUGAAAGGCGGUUGUGCUGUUACUUAUAGAUGGUUCGGCGCCGCAUUAUCUAGUUGGUAAGGUAACGGUUUACCAAGGCGACGAUGCGUAGCCGACCUGGGAGGGUGAUCGGCCACACUGGCACUGAGACACGGUCCAGACUCCUACGGGAGGCAGCAGUAGGGAAUCUUCCGCAAUGGGCGAAAGCCUGACGGAGCAACGCCGCGUGAGUGAUGAAGGUCUUCGGAUCGUAAAACUCUGUUAUUAGGGAAGAACAAAUGUGUAAGUAACUAUGCACGUCUUGACGGUACCUAAACAGAAAGCCACGGCUAACUACGUG
rnacentral:rRNA from 1 species